AUCAAGCUUAGAAACUGCAGAGAAAGUUCCUGGAAGGCUAGCACUUGACUGAGGACGUGGAGGAGGCAUGGAGCUUAAACAGAGAGUGGAAAUGGAAGGCAGGCCACACUACAUGAUUAAAGAGUAGAGGGCAUGUGAAAAGACAUGUGAUGUGGAAUUCCAGUAGAAGAGUGUUGAUGAGAUUGACAGAGACAACUUCUUAAUGAUGUUUGACCCACCUUUGAGAUGAAUGGCGAGACUGAAGAUAAAUUGUGGACAGUGCCUGGACUUUCAACCUCUCUUCAUUUUCCAUUCACCUGUCUGCUGGUUCCAAGUGGAGAUGCUGAUAGCAGGACUCUGGAAAGAGAGAGAAAUAAGGAGAGUAGUUUCCUAACCUAGUUUCUAGCUGCUUUAUAGUACUGUUCCUGUGUGAUAAUGUCAAUGGCUGACUUCCUAAAGGACUUUGGGAGCACAUUUAUUUCAUCCUUGUUAUUCCUUUGCAUCAUUUUUUAUUGCUCUGAAUUUCUGCAUUCCCUCAGUUAGAGUAGCUUUCUUUCUCUUUCAAGGGCAGAGUCUUUCUAGGUAUUCUGUCACUGUGUAACUAGAGCUGUAAAAUAUUCUGGGGUGGUGACUUCUUAAAAUUCCCAGUGGAUAUGUAAGGACGUUACUCAACCAAAAACUUUUGAAUGCCCACUGGGAAAAGAAGAGCCUAUACUUUUUUCUCCAUAUACUUUUAAAACUUGCUUUAUGUAGGGUAGCCUCCUAAAUAAAGCUG